rnacentral:rRNA from 1 species
AACGAACGCUGGCGGCACGCCUAACACAUGCAAGUCGAACGAAGCAUAAGAGCUUGCUCUUAUGACUGAGUGGCGCACGGGUGAGUAACACGUGGGAAUCUGCCUAUUGGUGGGGAAUAACUUUUGGAAACGAAAGCUAAUACCGCAUGAGCCCUAAGGGGGAAAGAUUUAUCGCCAAUAGAUGAGCCCGCGCUAGAUUAGCUAGUUGGUGAGGUAAGAGCUCACCAAGGCUACGAUCUAUAGCUGGUCUGAGAGGAUGGUCAGCCACACUGGGACUGAGACACGGCCCAGACUCCUACGGGAGGCAGCAGUGGGGAAUAUUGGACAAUGGGGGAAACCCUGAUCCAGCGAUGCCGCGUGAGUGAAGAAGGCCUUCGGGUUGUAAAGCUCUUUCAGAGGGGAUGAUAAUGACGGUACCCUCAGAAGAAGCACCGGCUAACUUCGUGCCAGCAGCCGCGGUAA